UCAGGUCUGUGGACUCCUUGGGACUCAUGGGCUGCUGCUGAAGAGUCUGCAAAAGGUAAUUAAGAAGAGUAAAUCUAUUGUCAGUCAACUUCAAUUUGCUAUAUAAGGACCACUGCAGAUCUACUGGAGAAUGCUUAAGACUCUUCAAAUUGAUACAAGUUUUCAGAUCUGCUCUGCUCACCAAAAGACACGGGAGAGAAGAGUGCUCUACAGUGAAGCCAGGCUGCUGCUCAUGAUCUUAAUUCUGGGUCUGAAACUUCCUGUCUAGUUUUGUGAGCCUCGAAGCAGUGAAAAGAGCUGCAGGAUUCACAUAGCGAGGUGUCAAGGAGACGGAGCCCUCAGAGAACCAAGCUUCAAGCAGAAGCACAGUAGCUCCCUACGAAUGUGCAGGCCAGGGGCGUAUCAAGAUCGGUGCUCAGC